rnacentral:misc_RNA from 1 species
GAUGGAGAACGCAGCGAAAUGCGAUAAGUAAUGUGAAUUGCAGAAUUCAGUGAAUCAUCGAAUCUUUGAACGCACAUUGCGCCCGCCAGUAUUCUGGCGGGCAUGCCUGUCUGAGCGUCAUUUCAACCCUCAUGCCCCUAGGGCGUGGUGUUGGGGAUCGGCCAAAGCCCGCGAGGGACGGCCGGCCCCUAAAUCUAGUGGCGGACCCGUCGUGGCCUCCUCUGCGAAGUAGUGAUAUUCCGCAUCGGAGAGCGAUGAGCCCCUGCCGUUAAACCCCCAACUUUCCAAGGUUGACCUCAGAUCAGGUAGGAAUACCCGCUGAACUUAAGCAUAUCAAUAAGCGGAGGA